UCUCUGUUAGUAUAUCGGUUUAGUACACGCGCUUGUCAUGGGCGCGAGGCUCAUUAUACGCGCGAAAGCUGGGUUCGACUCCCAGACAGAGAG